CCUAAGAAGAAGCACAUUAAGGUCCUGGAGUGGCCUAGCCAGUCUCUAGAUCUUAAUCCCAUAGAAAAUCUGUGGAGGGAGCUGAAGGUUCCAGUUACCAAAUGUACGUCUUUAAACCUUAAUGACUUAGAGAGGAUCUGCAAAGAGGAGUGGGACAAAGAUGUGUGCAAACCUGGUGGCCAACUACAAGAAACGUCUGACCUCUGUGAUUGCCAACAAGGGUUUUGCCACCAAGAACUAAGUCGAAGGGGUCAAAUACUUAUUUCACUCAUUGUCAUGCAAAGCAAUUUCUAAC